GCCUAGGUGGCUCAGUUGGUUGAGCGUCUGACUUCAGCUCAGGUCAUGAUCUCAUUCAUGGUUCAUGGGUUCGAGUCCGUGUCGGGCU
rnacentral:tRNA from 1 species